UCCUACGGGACGCAGCAGUGGGGAAUCUUCCGCAAUGGGCGCAAGCCUGACGGAGCAACGCCGCGUGAAUGAAGAAGGUCUUCGGAUCGUAAAGUUCUGUUCUUAGGGAAGAAGUCUUAGGUUGUGAAUAAUGACUUAAGGUGACGGUACCUAUGGAGAAAGCUCCGGCUAACUACGUGCCAGCAGCCGCGGUAAUACGUAGGGAGCGAGCGUUAUCCGGAUUUACUGGGUGUAAAGGGAGCGUAGACGGCAUGGCAAGUCAGAUGUGAAAGCCCGGGGCUCAACCCCGGGACUGCAUUUGAAAC
rnacentral:rRNA from 1 species